GACGAACGCUGGCGGCGUGCUUAACACAUGCAAGUCGAACGGAAAGGCCCUGCUUUUGUGGGGUGCUCGAGUGGCGAACGGGUGAGUAACACGUGAGUAACCUGCCCUUGACUUUGGGAUAACUUCAGGAAACUGGGGCUAAUACCGGAUAGGAGCUCCUGCUGCAUGGUGGGGGUUGGAAAGUUUCGGCGGUUGGGGAUGGACUCGCGGCUUAUCAGCUUGUUGGUGGGGUAGUGGCUUACCAAGGCUUUGACGGGUAGCCGGCCUGAGAGGGUGACCGGCCACAUUGGGACUGAGAUACGGCCCAGACUCCUACGGGAGGCAGCAGUGGGGAAUAUUGCACAAGGGGCGGAAGCCUGAUGCAGCAACGCCGCGUGCGGGAUGACGGCCUUCGGGUUGUAAACCGCUUUCGCUUGUGACGAAGCGUGAGUGACGGUAAUGGGUAAAGAAGCACCGGCUAACUACG
rnacentral:rRNA from 1 species